rnacentral:rRNA from 1 species
GGGUGACUCCGUGCGAGGGGGUGGGGGAAGACGGAGGCUACAGGAGGUAUUGUGAGGUAUUGGGGUUAAAGGGUAGUUAGGCGGAGUUAUAUGGCAGGGGAUGAUGCCUGUCGCGUAACGAUAGAGCUGACAUUGAUACUGUAAGGCUUGAGUAUAGUUGAGGUAGCUGGAAUAAGUAGUGUAGCGGUGAAAUGCAUAGUUAUGACUUAGAGCACCAAUUGCGGAGGCGGGUUACCAAGAUAUAACUGACGCUGAGGGACGAAAGCGUGGGGAGCGAACAGGAUUAGAUACCCCGUAGUC